rnacentral:lncRNA from 1 species
GUGGAUUUUAAAAGUUUCUAUUGAAGUCUCAUAUAUAUAUAUAUAGAAAAGCACUCACUAGGAAGUGUAUAGUUCUCGAAUUUUCAUCACGUAAGCUCAUCUGUGUGAACAGCACCUGGAUCAAGAAUCUUAACAUUCCCUGUUCCCCAGAAGUCCUCAGACAGAGACUUUAUUUUUCAUUAUGGACCUUUUGAUGCAUUUUUGACAUUUUAAAGCUAUGUGAGCUUACUUUACAAUAAAACCAAAUUGGACUUAGAAAUAAAGAGCUCAAGCCUAUAGGCCUCCCAAGGAGAAGCAGCACACAGGAUCCCUCCAUCAGGGCAGAAGGAGAGCAGCUUUUUUUGUUGUCCAUGCUGAUGAUUUUUUUAGUGGAGCUUCCCACCCAGUACCCUGAAAAUGGUUAAAGCGCAUUGAAGUAUCAACCAGCUCCAUCAAGAUCAUACUUUAAACAAUGAGUAAAAUCUUUCAAAAUGCAGUCAGUCACGUAGGUGGGCACACAACUCUCCCACUGGAUGAAGGGACUCCAAGGCCAGGGACCAUUAUGCCUUGUUUGCAGGCCUAUUCUUUGUGAUAUAAUACAAUGCCUGACACACAGAGAAGACAUUCAGUAAUACGCUAAUAAAUACAUGAGCUUGGGCAAUAGGGAGAGAAAGGAAAAAGGCUCUGAGGGAUGCCAUGAAAUCUUAGGCACUUCAAUAUGAAAGAAAACGCCAUGGGAGUUAAUCUAGUCCAAUCCCCUUGAUAGCCAAUGGGUAAAUGGAGCCACAAAGCAAAGUCCUACACUGAGCUGAUAGAAGAGCUGGGAUGAGAACCCAAGUCACUGGUCUCUCUGCCCCUUGUUUUUUCCACCAUGCCAUUCUAUUCAACAGCAAGCACAGAUUGGAGACAUCUCAGCAGUCUGGAAGCUUCUGCGUUUUCGAAGGCAAAGACUGUGUUAUUGAAAGAAUGAAGGCUGAAGAAUGAGGGUGACAGCACUUGCCUCAGGCCAACGUGAACAAGCCAAGUAGGAGCCCUGAUCAGGCACUUAGUGCCCACGUGGCUAUAGGGUAAGGCUCC